UAUUAAUUGGCUAAAAGAUGGACUAUCCGAGUUCUUAGGUACGGCGCCAAAAUCUGCCCCCACGCCUAAGACCGACGAUUGAUGAAAGAGACGAACAGUUCUUGCAGCUAAACCUCCAUGGGAGAAUCGUGAAAGAUAAUCUAACAGGUUGCUUAGGCUCCGAUAUCGAUCUUUCAAGAUAAUGUAAUGGCAUUUCCAAUGAGGUUGUUAUCCACUUAUCCAAGAACCAGUAAGCUUCAAUCUCCAAAAUAUGCGAAAACAAGAGUUUCGGUUCCCGGCCUCGCAGCAUGCUUUUACAACACUUAUGUGCUCCAUGGUCAACUUCACCAUCAGUCUCUUUCCUUCUAUGUGACCAAACCGUCAGUGCUAAAGAACUUCAAGAAGAUGGCCUUGUCCAUUAGGAGCAGUGUGGAAGAGAGUCCAUUUGAUCCUCCUUCAAAUAGCUCGAAUGGUAGAACGAGACUGACACGGAUUAUUUCAGCUAUUCAAACCAAGUUGAAUGCGAGAAUUAACGAGUUAAGGAAAAAUCUUCCAUUGAAGAUACUCUUCUUCUUGGUUGGGUUUUACAGUGCAACUGCAUUUGCAACUGUUAUUGGUCAAACAGUUCUGAGUACAGAGGAUGGAACCUCCGAUUCAUGGAUCUGAAGCCUUGGGACAAACAUGGUUGCUGUUUGAAGGAUUUCCUAAGAACUGUGAUGCUGGUUGAUUCCCAUGGUCUAACCAACUAGCUCAACCUUCUAGACGAACAUGGUUGUUGUUUGAAGACUUUCCUAAGAACUUUGGUAACCAACUAGCUCAACCUUCUAGACGAACAUGGUUACUGUUUGAAGACUUUCCUAAGAACUGUGAGUAACUUGACGACAAUUUUUUAUUCCUAUUGUCUAACCAACUAGCUAAUAUGUUCUCAACAAAGACAUUAGAUGCUUGAAUUGAAUUUUAUAUCUUCAAAAGAAAGAAAAGGAAACCCCGUUAUAA